CGCCACGCUGAUUGGCAGCGCGGAGCGGGGAACAUGGCAGCUGCAGCCGAGCGACCGCCGCUGAUUGGGUCGUGGCCGGGCGCCUGGCAGGUCCCUCCCCAGAGACCCGAAGAGAUAGGCCUGAAGGAGAAUGGACUUGGGGUGUGAAACUUGCCUGUGUUUCUGGAGCACACAUCUAUCCAGGACCCCAAGUUCCUUCUAGCUGCCAAAUGCUCCAUUAGUUCUGAAAUGUAAAUGAUCUCAGCUCCAAAAUAAAGUGGCUAGACUAUCC
rnacentral:lncRNA from 1 species